CAGCCGCCGCGGUAAUACGUAGGUGGCAAGCGUUGUCCGGAAUUAUUGGGCGUAAAGGGCUCGCAGGCGGUUUCUUAAGUCUGAUGUGAAAGCCCCCGGCUCAACCGGGGAGGGCCAUUGGAAACUGGGAAACUUGAGUGCAGAAGAGGAGAGUGGAAUUCCACGUGUAGCGGUGAAAUGCGUAGAGAUGUGGAGGAACACCAGUGGCGAAGGCGACUCUCUGGUCUGUAACUGACGCUGAGGAGCGAAAGCGUGGGGAGCGAACAGGAUUAGAUACCCCUGUAGUCCCUGUCUCUUAUAA
rnacentral:rRNA from 1 species